UAGUGGUUUACUUGAGCUGAUAUAAUAAAAUACUGUAAACCGAUGGCUUAAGCAACAAAAAUGUAUUUUCUCAUAGUUCCGAAGACCAGAAGUCCAAGAUCAAGAUGCCAGCAGAACUGGUGUCUGGUGUGAGCCCUCUCCUUGGUUGCAGAUGCCUGCCAUCUCUCUGUGUACUCUCUGUGCGCAGAGGAAGCAGGGGCAGGUGAGUUUUCUGCUGUCUCACUUUUAGGGACACUAAUCCUAUUGGAUUAGGGCCCCACCUCUAUGACUUCAAUGAACUCAACCUUAAUUGCUUUCUUACCCACAUACAGGUAUACUAGGGGUUGGGGCUUCAAUAUAUGAAUCUGGUGGGAGGACACACACAUUUAGUCCAUCAAAGAUAGCCUAGAGACUAUUUUCAAAUGUGCAGACUUAAAUGCUUAAUCCAUGAUUCCUCCUGCUUUAGGGAGCUCCUAAGGGACAUAUCCCUUUGGCUUAGAAUCCAGAAAACAGGGACAUGGGACUGGAGAUGUUCCAGGAUAACUGAUGUGUACCAAGUUAAAGAACACCAGUCCACCUUGGAGCUGGAAGAAGAACCGAUACCCUCAUGUUGUGCAGCCCAGGCAAGUUUCUCAAGAAGCUCUGUCAGGUUGGAGAGCCAGUCCAGGUUACUUUGGCCAGCUCAUCUGACUUCUUUCUGUAAUGGUGAGCAUAAAAACUGGACAGUGCUACAGAAGGCUCAAGAAAUACAGAGACAUCAAGAAAUAGCUGAGAUUUCAUCUAGACACUCAAAUUAGACUCCCACAGUGAAAUUAAAACUUUCCUCAAGGUUGCUCAUCCUUAUAGAUCCUAGGGAGCUUUGUACUUGGGCUUUGAGCUCAAGCGGGAAAAGAUAUGCCACAGAUUUCAUCCAGAAAUGGUCUUUUUCACCCCAUCUCCAGCAGGUGACUUUGUCUGUUGCUCCCUCAACUCACGGGAUGGCUCAAUCUCAAGUGUGUCUUUCAAAAGCUGUCCAUUUGAUUUAAAUUGUAAAACACUUAGCAGAGACCUAAGACAUGCAAAGUAUAGAGCUAGCUAAGGGAAGCUGGGGGACCAUAAAGAAAAGGGAGUGAUGGUGAACUUGUAACCUUGUGACCUUGACAUCAAGGAACCUGCCAAAUAUAAGAUAGAAAAUAAGGAUGAAAAUAACUAUGAUGUAAUAGUGUCAUCAAACAGAAAGGAAUGAACACUUAGGUGAAUUCUGAAGUAGACAUGUGAGUUUUUAACAAAGGGGCAUUUAGAAAAGGAUCGAUGAUACAGUGGGACUUCUUUGGGGCUGACCCUGGAAGAUUGGGUAAGAUGUCAAGCAUAAGUGCGGAGUUGACGGGACAGUUUGUUGGUUUAGGAAAUAAAGAAUAGCAGUCGAAUGCA
rnacentral:lncRNA from 1 species